GACAAGGAGCAUCUACAGCUACUGGCUGGGUUUGGGAACGGAGCCCCCGACACCCACUGUCACGACCUCGCUGGGCUGCCUUGUGUUUCCUCUCAGAGCUUGGGAGGGGGACGAAUACCCAGCCCGGCCCGUUCCCCUCCAGCUCUGUGCCCUGGGAGCCCACAUCCAUGGGCUCCUUUGUUCUCUGGCUUCUGAUGGAUCCUACUUACGAGAGGCGCUGACCAGAGAGGACAUGGGAGGCCUUGACAUUCAGCUUGUGGGAUCUUAGUUCCCUGACCAGGGAUUGAAUCCCCACCCUCUGCCCUGAAAGCAUGGAGUCCUAACCAGCAGACCAGCAGGGAAUUCUUCCUUGAAAUGACCACUUUGCAUGGUAUCUCUUCCCAGCUGAGGUGUGACACAGUGAUUUUA